AUAAUCAUUUAUUAAUAAAUAAUUAAAUUGCAAAUUUAAUUU
rnacentral:tRNA from 1 species